rnacentral:tRNA from 1 species
GGGCGUUUAGCGCAGUGGUAGCGCGUAUGCUUUGCAUCAACAACGCCUCUGAUGAGCGCAUGAUUAUGUAAUAUAAUUGUAUAAGGUCCAGGGUUCAAUCCCCUGAACGUCCA